rnacentral:rRNA from 1 species
GAUGAACGCUGGCGGCGUGCCUAAUACAUGCAAGUCGAGCGAACAGACGAGGAUCUUGCUCCUCUGACGUUAGCGGCGGACGGGUGAGUAACACGUGGAUAACCUACCUAUAAGACUGGGAUAACUUCGGGAAACCGGAUCUAAUACCGGAUAAUAUAUUGAACCGCAUGGUUCAAUAGUGAAAGACGGUUUUGCUGUCACUUAUAGAUGGAUCCGCGCCGCAUUAGCUAGUUGGUAGGGUAACGGCUUACCAAGGCGACGAUGCGUAGCCGACCUGAGAGGGUGAUCGGCCACACUGGAACUGAGACACGGCCCAGACUCCUACGGGAGGCAGCAGUAGGGAAUCUUCCGCAAUGGGCGAAAGCCUGACGCAGCAACGCCGCGUGAGUGAUGAAGGUCUUCGGAUCGUAAAACUCUGUUAUUAGGGAAGAAAAAAUGUGUAAGUAAAUAUGCACGUCUUGACGGUACCUACUCAGAAAGCAACGGCUAACUACGUG